AAGGUUUACCAGAUAUAGAGUCGCAAAGUUCCGUCGGUGGCAAACAGUGCGUGCGAUUUGACGCGGUAUCUGGCUUCGCCGCGGUUUGCGACGCGACGCGUCCAGUGCCCGUGCUCCGCUACCUGUGUCACCUCGACGCCUUUAUAUCUCGUAAACCUUCGACCUCUGACUCCUGGUCCACUAAUGACUUUUUGGGUGUUUCGGCUCCCCUUUCGAUCUGUACUACUUUCGCUGUGCCUCAGUAGGGCAACAAUUGUAUUAUUAAUCGAUCGAAUAUACAAAACACUACAAUUUUUCCUAUAUAGUUUCAUUUUAUAUUUUUCUGGAAUACGAUAAUAAAAUUAUAUAUUUCCUAUAAAUAAUUAUACAAUUUUUUCAUCGCUUUAGUUAUUUUCAAAUAAUGUUAGUCAUCUAUAAACUGUUAAGAUUUCCUUUUAUCUCGAAAAAUUUAGGUAAGAUUUUACUUUGACUGUCUGGCGUUUUCGCGGCGCUACGCCCAUAUAUUAAAUGAUAAUAUUAUACCAUCUGAUCGUCGAAUAACAUUAUCUUUCAUACCAAUGAAGUAGAUAUUAAUAUCAUUCGCACGCAUAUUAACAUCUAUUUUAUCCAGCACGUUAAGGCGCGCUAUAACGCGAAUUGUUACGCAUAGACGCGUCGCACUAGCAACAGACACGAAAACACUAGACAGUGAAUCCUACCGAAAUGUUGAACUGUUUAAGAUUAAAUUUCAUCGUCUGAAAUAUCCUAUAUAAAAUUGGAGUGACUCGGACGCAAAGCAAACAGUUACAUCAAUGAAUUCCUUCUCUCCACAGAUGACACAACGCAUUUCAAUGUUUAUAAUCCAGCUAGUAUUGGAAUAUUAUUAUCAUUUUUAUACACUUCAACAAGUUUAUAAUUUUACAAUAAUAUUUUCAGCCAGAAAUAUUAAAUAUUUUCUUUCUUCCGAAGAGUUUAACCACUCCGCACUCUUCCAUCAGAAACGUAUUAGAAUGACUUUUUGUCAUGGUAAAAUCCUAAUAAAUCCAAUCUAAAUAUAAAAACCAAAGAUUUUUUUCUGUAGUAUACAUGAAAUAUAUAUAAAUAUAAAUAUUCUCACAGGAAUUUUGUAAGUACUUAACGUAUGGAAGAAGAAAACCGACUUUUUAAAAAUCAGAGAGUUUUCGUCGUACCAUACUUAUCAACAUCUGGAAACGUCCCUUCGUCUAUAUGAUAAAAAUUCUUACGUUUAUAGCUUAAACUAUUUUAAAAAAGCUUCAAAAUAUUGCAGUAAUAUAUAAAUUACGAUCGAAACAAAUAACGAGAACAGAGUAGUAAUUAUAAAACGCGGUGAUCAAACAACCUUCAAACAUGGCGUCGAAAUUUUUUAUUCCAGAAGAAAUUUAAUCUUUCUUUGCAUAUUUUCCCCCCCUUUCCGACUUUUCAAUUUUCAUGCCUACUCGUUAUUAAACUCAAACAAUUAUUACGGAGAAAAUCAGCGGUUUCUUACCAAAAAUAUCACUUUGUUAUAGAGUUUUGAUUAAAAACUUUUUUUAAUAAAAAGAUAACUUUAGGAAGCAUGUUAUGAUAAGAAAAAUACGGUCUGUGUUUUUUUUUAUUAAUCAGAAGAACAGCUUUAACUCGGUCAAAUAAUGCGUGCAGUCUAAAUAUAAACAUUAAUAUUGUAUUUUUUUUAUUUUUUAUCAAGAAUACCGACUUUGUAAAUAACAUGACAGGUGCGUCGUACUGGAUGAAACGAUAUAACAUUUGAAUGAAUCGGAAAAUAUUCUUAUUCAAAAAAAGUUUAAUUUCUAAGAUGGUAAACACAAAUAGUAACUCCCACUCGUUUGGUAAAAACACUACCAUUGGUGGCUGAUACACUAAUUUACUAGUGUUGGCAUUGUUUCUCUCUCUGAGGACGACACACGACAAAUGUAGUGAUUAAUAUUUUCGCUGCAUUUAUUAAAAUGUACCCCAUUAGUGACGUAAUAUUAAAUAUAAUGAAAAAAAGGAUAAAGCUGUUGAUAGGUGUAAGAAAGGAGUUAUUAGAUUAUUUAACAGCCGAAAAUAGAAGACUUUUGUUAUUGUUUUUCUUCUGUUUGUCGAGAUUUAAUAUAUGACGAAUUCUAUAACAAUGGAAUUUAUUAAUAACAUCUAUGAAAAUGUAAUUAUCCAAAACUAUUUCAGCGUUAAGUCCUAAAAUAAUAGCGGAUGUAAAGGAGGAAUUAAUCAACUUAUUAAAAUGUCACCAGUUAGGCAGAUUAAUAACAACUCUAGAUAAGAGAAAAUUAUAAAGGAGAAAUUUUUUUUAUUGAUUUUUUUUCUUUUAAUCGGGUUCUUUCCAGGUGUGAUUACUUAUAUUUAUUCUAGAUUCUUCGAUAUAACAGUAACAUUUUAGUAAUUAUUCAUUUGGCUCACGUCAGAACUGAUCCCGAGUAAAACAGAAGUUUGGAUUGUUUUCGAAAUAAACAAGAUUUACUCUUCGGAUAUCUGGAAGUUUUGAUAAGAUUCCCACAAUGAAAACUGAGUAAAAAUAGAUAAAAACCUGGUGUUUUCUUUCCAGAAGAUACCGAUGUUGACACUUCGGAUGUAAUUAUAACAAGUACUGGUAUAGAAAACGAUAAGAUGCCAUCCAGUUUUUUAUCAUUCAAUAUUUGGAUGAUAAAAAACAGAAGGAAACUGAAUGAAAUGCUAUCGGAAUUGAAUUUAGAAGAAUUAUCUGAUUCUAUUGUGUUUACAAUUCGAAUAAAUUGUAUUCUAAUAAAAAUGCAGAAAUAUAUUAAACUUACAAUUUUUAUUAAAAAUAUCCAAAUACGUGUGACGCAAUUAAUUUAUAUUAAUUGCGUCACACCUAUUGUAUUAUUCUUUCUUCCAUCGCUUUGCAUAAUUUUGAAAAGAAUCCAGUUUUAUAUUUAUUAUAAUAUUCGAUAAAAAAAUUAAAUUUUAUUCUACACUGACAAUAUAACCAUUUUAAAGCGUAUUAUGGUAAUUAAUUUAUUAUUGUUGUUGUUAUUUUGAUUUGCAUACAAGGUACCUAGUGUUUACAGCGUUGUCUAACAGCGACGUCACAUAACGAAUAAAGAAUGGCGAAUCGUGUAUUAAUUACUGGAAAUCGUGUCUGGUAUAUCGGAUACUAUGAUCAUCCGUUGUUAUAAGUCCAACACAUAAUCGUGUUCCUUUGUCAUUGAAGGAAAUUUUCAUGUCGAAUAUCUUAAAUCCUUCAUUUACAAUCGAUUAAAAACGAUAAGAUAUUGAAAUUUUUGAGAUAUUGGUUUAAAUAUUCCUAAUUAAUAUAUGAAUUUUCCUGUAAUCGAGUUGACGUGGAUGACCAUCAGUUAUCCAAUAGUUUUACUGAUUUAAAAAUAGACGACAGUUAAACUUUUCAGGUUUCCUCAUAAAGGAAGUGAUAUGGAUUUAAGUUGGAUUAUCAAAUAACCAAUUUCCAGCCCUUCUGAUUGAUGACAUAUUUUAAUUGCGCGUCUUUAACCAUUCGAAAACAGUCGAUAGCGUGUCAGCCAUUUUCCAGUUUGAAUUCGGAAAGUAGUCGAUUACGGGUGUGUUCAAAAAAUGCUUCGAGAAGUGUCCGCUGGAGAAUGACGUCAAAGAAUGACGUCAUCACCCAUCAGCUGGCCAGAUCACGCGAUUGCUUAGUUUCCAGCGGAAUUUCUCGGAGCAUUUUCUGAACUCACUCUUGUUCCAUCUGUAACUGCUUGUUUACUACAGACUGGUGACAUAAUACGAAACAAACAGUGAUGAAGUAAACAGAUAUUUUUUGGCUCAACAAUUUAGUUUAGGAGCCAGUUUUAUUUAU
rnacentral:lncRNA from 1 species